CGAAAGCCUGACGGAGCCAGACCGCGUGAGGGAAGAAGGUUCUUGGAUUGUAAACCUCUUUUCUCAGGGAAGAAAAAAUGACGGUACCUGAGGAAUCAGCAUCGGCUAACUCCGUGCCAGCAGCCGCGGUAAGACGGAGGAUGCAAGCGUUAUCCGGAAUUAUUGGGCGUAAAGCGUCCGCAGGUGGCAAUUAAAGUCCGCUGUCAAAGACCGAAGCUCAACUUCGGAAAGGCAGUGGAAACUAAAUAGCUAGAGUAUGGUAGGGGUAGAGGGAAUUCCCAGUGUAGCGGUGAAAUGCGUAGAGAUUGGGAAGAACACCGGUGGCGAAGGCGCUCUACUGGACCAAAACUGACACUCAGAGGACGAAAGC
rnacentral:rRNA from 1 species